UACGAAGGGAGCUAGCGUUGUUCGGAAUUACUGGGCGUAAAGCGCGCGUAGGUGGUCAUACAAGUCAGGGGUGAAAUCCCACGGCUCAACCGUGGAACUGCCUUUGAAACUGUAUGGCUUGAGUUCGGAAGAGGAGAGUGGAAUUCCUAAUGUAGAGGUGAAAUUCGUAGAUAUUAGGAGGAACACCAGUGGCGAAGGCGGCUCUCUGGUCCGAUACUGACACUGAGGCGCGAAAGCGUGGGUAGCAAACAGG
rnacentral:rRNA from 1 species